AUUGAACGCUGGCGGCAUGCCUUACACAUGCAAGUCGAACGGCAGCACGGGAGCAAUCCUGGUGGCGAGUGGCGAACGGGUGAGUAAUAUAUCGGAACGUGCCCAGUCGUGGGGGAUAACGCAGCGAAAGCUGUGCUAAUACCGCAUACGAUCUAUGGAUGAAAGCGGGGACUCGCAAGGGCCUCGCGCGAUUGGAGCGGCCGAUAUCAGAUUAGGUAGUUGGUGGGGUAAAAGGCUCACCAAGCCGACGAUCUGUAGCUGGUCUGAGAGGACGACCAGCCACACUGGAACUGAGACACGGUCCAGACUCCUACGGGAGGCAGCAGUGGGGAAUUUUGGACAAUGGGCGCAAGCCUGAUCCAGCAAUGCCGCGUGCAGGAUGAAGGCCUUCGGUUGUAAAGCUGCUUUGUACGGAACGAAAAGGCAGUCUGGUUAAUACCUGGGGCACAUGACGGUACCGUAAGAAUAAGCACCGGCUAACUACGUGCCAGCAGCCGCGGUAAUACGUAGGGUGCGAGCGUAAUCGGAAUACUGGCGUAAAGCGUGCAGCAGGCGGUAAUGCAAGGACAGAAUG
rnacentral:rRNA from 1 species